rnacentral:rRNA from 1 species
GUAGGUGGCAAGCGUUGUCCGGAAUUAUUGGGCGUAAAGCGCGCGCAGGCGGUUCUUUAAGUCUGAUGUGAAAGCCCACGGCUCGACCGUGGAGGGUCAUUGGAAACUGGAGAACUUGAGUACAGAAGAGGAAAGCGGAAUUCCACGUGUAGCGGUGAAAUGCGUAGAGAUGUGGAGGAACACCAGUGGCGAAGGCGGCUUUCUGGUCUGUAACUGACGCUGAGGCGCGAAAGCGUGGGGAGCAAACAGGAUUAGAUACCCUGGUAGUCCACGCCGUAAACGAUGAGUGCUAAGUGUUAGGGGGUUUCCGCCCCCCUUAGUGCUGCAGCUAACGCAUUAAGCACUCCGCCUGGGAGUACGGCCGCAAGGCUG